GGUUAAGUAAUUGCAUUAUCAGCCUCCUCCAGUCUCUGGGGAGAGGAUGCCAAUGUUAAGUAGCAGCAGACUUCCAUCUCCCCUUGUCUCUGAGUGAAGACUGCCUGUUUUCCCUGCCAGUGCGAGGACAGCAAGGUGGAUGCCCUGGGGGAAGCCCUGCAGACCACGGUCAGUCGCUGGAAAUGUAAGUUCUCGGCCCCGCUGCCCCUGGAGCUCUAUACGUCGUCCAACUUCAUCGGCCUCUUCGUAAAGGAAGACAGUGCGGAGGUCCUCAAGAAGUUUGCUGCUGACUUUGCUGCAGAGGCUGCAUCCAAAACCGAAGUGCAUGUGGAACCUCAUAAGAAGCAGCUACAUGUGACCCUGGCUUACCACUUCCAAGCCAGCCACCUACCCACCCUAGAGAAACUGGCCCAGAACAUUGACGUCAAGCUAGGGUGUGACUGGGUGGCUACCAUAUUUUCUCGGGAUAUCCGAUUUGCUAACCAUGAGACAUUACAGGUCAUCUACCCCUAUACCCCACAAAAUGACGAUGAGCUAGAGCUGGUCCCCGGGGACUUCAUCUUCAUGUCUCCAAUGGAGCAGACCAGCACCAGCGAGGGUUGGAUCUAUGGCACGUCCUUAACCACCGGCUGCUCUGGACUCCUGCCUGAGAAUUACAUUACCAAGGCUGAUGAAUGCAGCACCUGGAUAUUUCAUGG
rnacentral:sRNA from 1 species